GGGGAAUAUUGGACAAUGGGCGAAAGCCUGAUCCAGCAAUGCCGCGUGAGUGAUGAAGGCCUUAGGGUUGUAAAGCUCUUUUACCAGGGAUGAUAAUGACAGUACCUGGAGAAUAAGCUCCGGCUAACUCCGUGCCAGCAGCCGCGGUAAUACGGAGGGAGCUAGCGUUGUUCGGAAUUACUGGGCGUAAAGCGCACGUAGGCGGUUACUCAAGUCAGAGGUGAAAGCCCGGGGCUCAACCCCGGAACUGCCUUUGAAACUAGGUGACUAGAAUCUUGGAGAGGUCAGUGGAAUUCCGAGUGUAGAGGUGAAAUUCGUAGAUAUUCGGAAGAACACCAGUGGCGAAGGCGACUGACUGGACAAGUAUUGACGCUGAGGUGCGAAAGCGUGGGGAGCAAAC
rnacentral:rRNA from 1 species